rnacentral:lncRNA from 1 species
AAUUAAUCUAAUAACGUCAAUUAAAAAUUCUUCGGAAUUUUCUGAAACUAUCAAAAUAGAAAAAGAAUCAUAAAAAAUAGAAAAAUAAGGAAUUUCGGGUUUUUAGGAUGACUUCCAAUGUUUAGUUCCUAAAUAGAGGCUUUUGAUCCUUGAUUUUUUCCUAGUUAAUCGACAAAGAAUCGGAAUAAUUUGAGACGAUUUUCUUAAAAAAAUAGUUAUUUUUUAUCCUAAAACGCAAAAACACCAGAACACAAGAAAGUUAGGGCAAAAAAAAU